rnacentral:rRNA from 1 species
GAGUUUGAUCAUGGCUCAGAUUGAACGCUGGCGGCAGGCCUAACACAUGCAAGUCGAACGGUAACAGGAAGAAGCUUGCUUCUUUGCUGACGAGUGGCGGACGGGUGAGUAAUGUCUGGGAAACUGCCUGAUGGAGGGGGAUAACUACUGGAAACGGUAGCUAAUACCGCAUAACGUCGCAAGACCAAAGAGGGGGACCUUCGGGCCUCUUGCCAUCGGAUGUGCCCAGAUGGGAUUAGCUAGUAGGUGGGGUAACGGCUCACCAAGGCGACGAUCCCUAGCUGGUCUGAGAGGAUGACCAGCCACACUGGAACUGAGACACGGUCCAGACUCCUACGGGAGGCAGCAGUGGGGAAUAUUGCACAAUGGGCGCAAGCCUGAUGCAGCCAUGCCGCGUGUAUGAAGAAGGCCUUCGGGUUGUAAAGUACUUUCAGCGGGGAGGAAGGGAGUAAAGUUAAUACCUUUGCUCAUUGACGUUACCCGCAGAAGAAGCACCGGCUAACUCCGUGCCAGCAACCGCGGUAAUACGGAGGGUGCAAGCGUUAAUCGGAAUUACUGGGCGUAAAGCGCACGCAGGCGGUUUGUUAAGUCAGAUGUGAAAUCCCCGGGCUCAACCUGGGAACUGCAUCUGAUACUGGCAAGCUUGAGUCUCGUAGAGGGGGGUAGAAUUCCAGGUGUAGCGGUGAAAUGCGUAGAGAUCUGGAGGAAUACCGGUGGCGAAGGCGGCCCCCUGGACGAAGACUGACGCUCAGGUGCGAAAGCGUGGGGAGCAAACAGGAUUAGAUACCCUGGUAGUCCACGCCGUAAACGAUGUCGACUUGGAGGUUGUGCCCUUGAGGCGUGGCUUCCGGAGCUAACGCGUUAAGUCGACCGCCUGGGGAGUACGGCCGCAAGGUUAAAACUCAAAUGAAUUGACGGGGGCCCGCACAAGCGGUGGAGCAUGUGGUUUAAUUCGAUGCAACGCGAAGAACCUUACCUGGUCUUGACAUCCGCAGAACUUUCCAGAGAUGGAUUGGUGCCUUUGGGAACUGUGAGACAGGUGCUGCAUGGCUGUCGUCAGCUCGUGUUGUGAAAUGUUGGGUUAAGUCCCGCAACGAGCGCAACCCUUAUCUUUUGUUGCCAGCGGUCCGGCCGGGAACUCAAAGGAGACUGCCAGUGAUAAACUGGAGGAAGGUGGGGAUGACGUCAAGUCAUCAUGGCCCUUACGACCAGGGCUACACACGUGCUACAAUGGCGCAUACAAAGAGAAGCGACCUCGCGAGAGCAAGCGGACCUCAUAAAGUGCGUCGUAGUCCGGAUUGGAGUCUGCAACUCGACUCCAUGAAGUCGGAAUCGCUAGUAAUCGUGGAUCAGAAUGCCACGGUGAAUACGU